rnacentral:rRNA from 1 species
UACGGGGGGAGCAAGCGUUGUUCGGAUUUACUGGGCGUAAAGGGCGCGUAGGCGGCCACCGCAAGUCGACUGUGAAAUCUCCGGGCUUAACCCGGAAAGGUCAGCCGAUACCGCGGGGCUAGAGUGCAGAAGGGGCAACUGGAAUUCUCGGUGUAGCGGUGAAAUGCGUAGAUAUCGAGAGGAACACCUGCGGCGAAGGCGGGUUGCUGGGCUGACACUGACGCUGAUGCGCGAAAGCUAGGGGAGCGAACGGG